CGCCGCAGCUGCCCGGGGAGCGAAGGAUUGAGGCGGCCGCCACCCCCGGGGGCCGCUCCACGCGUGCUGCGCCCCGGGGCCCUCUCCAAGUUGGAAAGGGCGGAUCGCAGGCUGUAGAUGCUAAAAGGGAGAGAGAAGGAGGGGAGCCGGGAUCGAGCGGCAACUCCCGGCGAGGGGCUGGGAGCGAGAGCCAGGAGGAGGAGGAGGAGGAGGAGGAGGAGGAGGGGAGCCGGGAGAGCGAGCGCGCGCGUCCCGAGCCGGCCCGGGACCCCGGGAUCCCGGACCCGGGGACCCCCGCCUCCCUCGCCCGCGCCGCCGGCCCGCAACUGGCGUCUAAGCAAUUUCCUGAGCCCAGGGGUCGCCAUGAGCCCUCGGGAGACCUUCGCGGGCUGAAAUCGGGAGCGCCCAGCACUUUUAUCCCCUACUUUGUUGUUUUGUUUUGUUUUCCCCACCCCGGAGAGCCGGGCUGGGUGGGGUGGCGGGCGAGGAAGCUCCGUUUCGGAAUCGGCCUUUUUAUUUUUUUUCUGUCUUGCACUUUGGACCCGCGGGGCGCGCGUGGUUAGAGCCUUUUUUUCUUUUUCUUUCCCCCCCCCCCUCUCCUCCCCAGCCUGAACUCCUCGUCCGGUAAACAUUACCUGAGCGUCCCCAGCCGAGACGCGGCUGCCCGGGCAAGAAACUUCUUGUUCGAAUCCCCACCCUCUCUGCCCGAUCACCAGCCCGGCGCUGGGGGUUGACUCCCCCUCCCCGCCCCCGCUCCAAGGAGCGUUCCGUUCCGGUUUUGUUCGGCCUCGGGGGAGUUGUGCCAUCGCCACCCCGCGCCGGCCCCGGCCCCGGCCCCGCGCGCGCGGGGAGGAUGGUGUGGCGCUGGCUGGGCGCGCUGGUGGCCUUCCCCCUGCAGCUGAUCUACCUGGUGGCCAAAGCGGCCGUGGGCUCGCUGCUGCCCGCCAGGCUGCGGGACCUGUCGCGGGAGAACGUGCUUAUCACCGGCGGUGGGCGAGGCAUCGGGCGCCAGCUCGCUCGCGAGUUCGCAGAGCGCGGCGCGAGAAAGAUUGUUCUCUGGGGCCGGACGGAGAAGUGCCUGAAGGAGACGACAGAGGAGGUUCGGCAGAUGGGCACCGAGUGCCACUACUUCAUCUGUGACGUGGGCAACCGAGAGGAGGUGUACCAGACGGCCAAGGCCGUCCGGGAGAAGGUGGGUGACAUCACCAUCCUGGUGAACAACGCCGCCGUGGUCCACGGGAAGAGCCUGAUGGACAGCGACGACGAUGCUCUCCUCAAGUCUCAGCACAUCAACACUCUGGGCCAGUUCUGGACCACCAAGGCCUUCUUGCCGCGCAUGCUGGAGCUGCAGAAUGGCCACAUCGUGUGCCUCAACUCCGUGCUGGCGCUGUCCGCCAUCCCCGGCGCCAUCGACUACUGCACAUCCAAGGCCUCGGCCUUCGCCUUCAUGGAGAGCCUGACCCUGGGGCUGUUGGACUGUCCGGGCGUCAACGCCACCACCGUGCUGCCCUUCCACACCAGCACCGAGAUGUUCCAGGGCAUGAGGGUCAGCCGGAGACCGUGGCCCGGAGGACAGUGGAAGCUGUGCAGCUAAAUCAGGCCCUCCUCCUGCUCCCGUGGACAAUGAAUAUCCUCAUUAUCUUGAAAAGCAUUCUCCCACAGGCCGCACUGGAGGAGAUCCACAGGUUUUCAGGAACCUACACCUGCAUGAAUACUUUCAAGGGGCGGACAUAGAGGCCGGAAGCAGAGACUUGUUCACGGAGUCGAGGAGCUGAGGGACCAAGGCACCUGGGCACACCCCCAGGCCCCUGUCUGCUGGCACAUUUCUGCAGGGGGGUGAGCAGAACUGCUCAAAGAAGAAUCUGGCACCCUCCCAGGUCAGCCCCAGGACCUUUGCACAGGACUGAUGGGUGUUAGCCCCCCCUCUCCCCAUGAGGAGACAGGAAACGAGCCAGUAGCCACCUUGACACUUUGGUACAUUUCUAAUUCUAUAGAGUUUAUUGUUAAAUUGCUUCUCAAAUCUAACCAGCCUCAGCAGUGUGCAUUGACUAUUUCCAGAAGGGUCUGCUUCCAGAAUUUCUGUCUUCCCCCUCCACAACCCACUCAGUCUCGGCUUGCACAAACUGGUUGAACGGCAGGAAUGAAAAAUAAAAAGAAAGAUGGCUUUUACAC